UGUUUCUUUGUUACUAGCAAU
rnacentral:piRNA from 1 species